GCUUGAAAAAGGCAAACCUGUCGAAAGGCAGGGACGCAAAGCCAAGGGUCUAAUGCUGUUUUUACAGCGAUGACAGCCGGUUGCCGGG
rnacentral:ncRNA from 1 species